AUUCAAAUAGCUUAUUAAUAAGAGCAUAAUAUUGAAGAUAUUAAGGAGAUUAUAUUAAUCUUUGGAUA
rnacentral:tRNA from 1 species